UACAAAAACUCUGGUGAUCACAAGACGCAUCAGAAGAUGUCUCAUUGGCUGUUCAAUCUACAGCCAUGCGCUAAUUUAAACUGGAUAUGACCAGUAAGAUGUGGAUCAAUCCCUGUUAUGUUACACAUUAAGGCACGUGUUGAGACUUUACCCUAUGCUGGUGUGUAUAGUGUCUAUGAUGUCGGGGGUACGAGUCCUCGCCGUGCCAUGUUGAGAAGGCCAGCAGCAGAAGGAAGAAUCCCUGUACUCCCAUACUGUCUGUAGUAUAGGCUUCAUUCCAAGCCUUGAUCUCUCCUUGCUACUGUGCUGAGUUAAUAUCAUCACUGAACUGGUUGCUGGUUUGGGGGAGGUGGAUCAAACUACAAAGUAACAGACAGACAUCUGGAGGCCCUAAUGGAAGUGGACGACUUUAGGCUCAAACCUCAAGAAACAACAAUCUAGUAAAAUACUGAACUCUGUGGUAAUAAAGCUCUCUCUGGAAGAUUUUACAUUUUCAUUCUUCAUGAGAGGGAACGAGUCUUCAGUUGUUAUUAAAGCCUACGAUGAAGAGAGAAGAAGACCUUGGAGUCAUUUCUGCUGAACACAAACAGUGACAUCUACUCUCCUGAUUUACUCUGCUGGCAUUUACAAAGCCCUCCUCUCAGGAUAAGAACAUUCAUCCCACGCCUCCCUUGUAGUGGUGCUGAUCAUCUGUAGGUGAUCGAUGUGAUCAACAAGUUAUUGAUCAGCGUUGACGGCAUCUCAGGCGGUGAGCAGAGGUUUAUGAUACAGGAUAUUUCACUGUGGAUAUCCCAACUUUUGGUCGUGGCACCACCCUGGUUGUUACAGACAGGUCAGUGGUGCGGCCCAAAGUGAGCGUCUACCCAGCGACGGGAGCUGAUUUAAAGGGCCGGCGCUCCCUGCUGUGUGUAGCCAGAGACAUGGUCCCUGAGGAGGUCCGGGUGUCCUGGAGGAGGAGAGGGGGGGGCAGAGGGGGGGGGAAGGACGGGGAGCAGCUGGAGCUCAGAGGACCGACAUACGCUGCCAGCAUCCUGGUUAUUGAUCGGGGAGAAACCCUCACAGAUCAAUACAUCUGUAGAGUUGAGCAUGAAAGCGGUCUGCAGGAGGAGUUCCCAGCAGAGUCCCUCCAGGUGCUGUCCAGAGCCAGGCUGGCGUCUGUGCUCUACACAGUGAUGGUGGUGAAGAGUGUGCUCUGCUGCUGUGGCCUGGCUCUCCUGCUCCUCCACACCAACAAGACCAGCAGGACGCCCAGAACCAGCACCACCACAGCCCUGGACUGACGCUCCUGUCCCCCAGAACCAGCAGACCCACCUUGUACAACCAUAUGAGGUCAUCAUGUCAACAUGUCAACAUUUUUUUAAUUUUGUUCCGAUUCUCUUUUCCCUCCACUGGUCGGACCAGAGAGCUGCAUUUCUUUUGCUGAUUUGUUCUUACUGCCGAUUAUGUAAAAACUAUUUAUAAAAAUCUAAAUUGUUACAUUUGCUGGUUGUCUAUUAAUGAAGGUGUGGAAUUUGUGGUGCAUUAUUAUGUUAAAUGAAUAAAAAAAGUUUUCCUACUCUUUGAAUCAGUCCGCGAUGCGCUCAGGUGGUGUGAUUUUAAAAUCC
rnacentral:lncRNA from 1 species